rnacentral:rRNA from 1 species
ACGAAGGGGGCUAGCGUUGUUCGGAAUUACUGGGCGUAAAGCGAGUGUAGGUGGUUGUCAUAGUCAGGUGUGAAAGCCUUGAGCUCAACUCAAGAAAUGCACUUGAUACUGGGCGACUAGAGGACCGGAGAGGAUAGUGGAAUUCCCAGUGUAGUGGUGAAAUACGUAGAGAUUGGGAAGAACACCAGUGGCGAAGGCGGCUAUCUGGACGGUUUCUGACACUAAGACUCGAAAGCGUGGGGAGCAAACAGG